UGAGAUGUGGCUCAAGUAGUAGCGUGCUCGCCUGGCAUGUGUGAGGCACUGGGUUCAAUCCUCAGCACCACAU
rnacentral:tRNA from 1 species